ACCUGCCGAAAGGCAGACUAAUACCGCAUAGUCUUCGAUGACGGCAUCAGAUUUGAAGUAAAGAUUUAUCGGUAAUGGAUGGGGAUGCGUCUGAUUAGCUUGUUGGCGGGGUAACGGCCCACCAGGGCGACGAUCAGUAGGGGUUCUGAGAGGAAGGUCCCCCACCAUUGGAACUGAGACACGGUCCAA
rnacentral:rRNA from 1 species